GCUGGGCGCGGUGGCUCACGCCUGUAAUCCCAGCAAUUUGGGAGGCUGAGGCAGGUGGAUCACUUGAGGUCAGGAGUUUGAGACCAGCCUGACCAACAUGGUAAAACUCCAUCUCUACUAAAAAUAAUAAUAAUAAUAAUACAAAAAUUGGCCAGGCACGGUGGCUCAUGCCUGUAAUCCCAGCUCUUUGGGAGGCCGAGGUGGGCAGAUCACCUGAGGUCGGGAGUUCGAGACUAGCCUGACCAACAUGGAGAAACCCUGUCUCU
rnacentral:sRNA from 1 species